AACUCCUAAGGGGCGGAGCUAAGAUGCGAGGCAAGGAAACGAGGAUGCACAAAUAAGAAAUGAGAAGCACCCCCUGUGUUCAUGCCGGUUUAUGAAUGGGAGGGUGCGGCUUGCAGCUGAGCUGCAGGAGAAGGUGGGAUGUAGAGCUUGAGACGGACUUGACUAAAGAAGUCGUUUGAGCAAAUCUACGCUAGGUGUGGAUAAACUAUUUGUGUGGAGAAGGAAGAGUUAACCACUUCUAGAUGCUGUGUGUGUGUUUAGAAGCGCACAGCCUCCGUCUGGGUAACAAACCACAAAAAAGGAUGUUCCGUUUUCAGCUAGGAAUGAUUAGGCCUAAUCUGCCCCCUAGUUGAUAAACCCUUGGUGAAUGCAUUGCAUUGGUGACAAGCAAGUGUAUCAGCGGCUUACCAGGCAACUAAGGGACAUUCCAAAUUGUUGUAUUGGCCUGAGUUCGGCUUCUGGGUCCUCUUGUUCCUGUGAUUAUAACAGGAAGAUCUGGCCAUCAUGGACCUAGCAGAACUAGAUCCCCUGCCUUCAGCCCUGUCCCAUCCCAGUGCCCUCCUUGGUUAGCAUGAGCAGCAGCUCCGGGAACUCGCUGUGAACAACCUCAACGUGGCAGCCUAGAUUGAACUCCUCCAUCACCAAUUCCUGUGUCUUCUGCCUAAUAGCCCAGACCCCUACUAGCCUUCAGUCAGCUCCAGCCCUCCAUAGCGUGAGGCACAUGUCCCUGGUUUCCCGCUCUCCUGACCCCAUUGCCCUCGAGCCCCAAAGCAGCCUUCGAGCUUCACCCAAUGUCUCACUCAGACAGGAGCCCAUGUAGUUAAGCUGAGCCCGGCUCACCCCCGCUGAGCGUGACCAGAAAUUCAAGGCAGGCGUAUUCAUCUAUUGCAGUCAACUGGGCCACUUUCUGGUUACCUGUCCUCUUCGGCUAAAAGGAGGGGCUCACUGAACAUCCACUUCUCCUGCCCCCCUGCCCCGUUUCCAGAUUCCAGGCACUCUGUGCCACAAUUUGCUCUCCGUUCCCCUGCUUGCGCUGAUCGACUUCCUGGACAUGGACAUGGAGCUAGCUUCCCAGUCUGGCCUCCCCAUUGAAACACUGGACCCCUCAUUACUGGUAACACCCUGGAUGGGAGAUUCUUGGUCCGGGUCACCCAUCACACUGCCCUGUUGAUCCUAGUUCUCUCAGGGAACCACUAUGAAUAGGUUCAGCUGAACCUCAUCUCCUCAUCAUGUACCCUAUGUGUGUUGGGCCAUUCAUGGUCGAGAGAGCACAAUCCCUAAAUAGACUGGUCAGCUGGGAGGGUUGCUAACUGGAGCCACUUCUAAUGCCUAAAAUUGGCCCUUCCACCAUUUGCUGCCACAAUGGCUUCCCCUCUCGGCCUCAGACCUCUCAGCAGUGCCCCCGAGUACCACAACCUGGGAGAGGUCUUCAGCAAGGAAAAAGCCCUCUCACUGCCACCUCCAGCCUUACAACUGCACCAUUGACCUGCUCCCUGGGGCCACCCUACCAUCCCACUGGCUGUAUAACCUGUCCAGAGAGAGAGAAAUGCUCAAUCACCCUCCUGGGGUACGUCCUUGAGAGUGGACGAGUCUAGGCUGACCCUGAGAAGAUCCGGGCCAUCAUCGAGUGGCCCAGACCUACUACCCGGAAGCAGUUUCAACAAUUCUGGGGGUUUCUGAACCACCACUCAAUGAUGUACCCCAGGAGGCUGUGCUCAGCUGGGUAGCGGCACCUCUCACUAGGCUCAGCUACACUUCCACUCUCUUCGUGUGGACCCAUGAGGCAGAGGCUGCCUUCACUAAGCCCAAAGGUCUAUUCACCUCUGCCACUGUGCUGUUUCAACCCGAUCCCUCACGGCAAUUCAUCGUGGAGGUGGACUCCUUCGAAUCAGUUGUGGGUGCAGUGCUCUCUCAGCGUUCAGUUCUAGAUCAUAAACUUCACCCAUGUACCUUCUUCUCUCAUCGCCUGUCUCCUGCUGAAUCCAACUAUGAUGUGGGGAAUUGGGAGUUCUGGAGGCACUGGCUCAAGGUCUAGACCGACCACAAAAACCUGGCCUACAUCCAGACCGCCAAGCACCUCAACUCUUCCCAGGCACGCUGGGCCCUGUUCUUCGGGCAGUUCACUUUCAUCAUCAUCUACCAUCCCGGCUCCAAGAAAGCUAAGCCUGAUGCCCUCUCUUGCCAGUUUGCCCCUGACAAAGAUGCCCCGAUUCCAUCCUCCCUCCUUCCUGCUUGGUGGGGGCUGUCACGUGGGAGAUUAAGCGAAUGGUCAGGAGAGCUCAGCGCACCCAACCCGAUCCAGGGAAUGGGUCCCCUGUUCAAUUGUUUGUUCUCGACUCUGUGCAUUCCCAGGUCCUCCAGUGGGAUCACUGUUCCUGGUUGAUCUGUCACCCCAGCUCCACUCGUACUCUGGGCCUGCUGAAGUGGCACUUUUCAUGGCCGACUCUGGACGCUGACACCCAGAAGUACUAUGACCCCUGCCGGUUUCCAGCCACCCCAGGUCCUACAUUGCCUUGGACUUUGUCACCAGUCUACCCCCUCACAAGGUAGCACCACCAUCCUUACCAUCAUUGACAGUUUUUUUUAAGGCAGUACAUUUUGUGGCUCUCCCCAAGUUUCCCACAACCUGCCAAGCGCCUCAACUCUGCAGACCUCAUAGUCAGCCAUGACUGGAGUACCUGGUGGAAACCCUCCGAAGCACAGGGGGAACCUGCAAGCUCCACUCACACAGGGUGAAGGCGGGAUUCAAACUCCCAACAAACACUGGAUAUCAAAAUAGGGAAAGCAAAAACAAGAGAGAGAGAAAAUGGGGGGAAUGGUGGCACCCAGGUCCAAUCUUCUGGUCUGUAUCCCUCCCAGUCCACCAAGUACUGCAGGCCUAGUCCUCUGUGGCGGACAUCCAGCAGCCUUCUGACUGUGUGCUCCGGGUGAUUAUCCAUGACUUGAGUGGGUGGAGGGGUGUUAGAGGGAGGGCUCAGAGGGCUGGCAUAGACAGGCUUGAGUUGGGAGACAUGGAAGGUAGGGUGGAUGCGCAUGGUUCUAGAGAGCUUAAGUCUGACCAUGGAGGGAUUGAUAAUGCUCUUGAUGGUGAAAGGGCCUAGGUAAUGAGGUUUUGUCUUUAGACCUGGCUGGUAGUUAUGGUCAUUGGAGCGGGGCUGAACGUGGUCUCUCUCCAAACCUUGCAUCAUUGACGAAUGUGGGCAUGGAAGGAACUGCGAACUUGUCCUACUGGAUGGGGAGCAGGAGAGGCUCAUAACCUUAAGAACACUCGAAGGGGGACAUAAUAGCAAUUGCCUGUGACCCUAAAAUAGCCACCUACCAACAACAUAGCAACCAGCUGAGUUUUUUUAACAAUAAACUAGCUACAACCUUGCAACCUCCUAGAAAAACCACAUCAACUAAGUUGUCCACCUAGGAACAACGCAGUAAUAAGAUGAGUUUCCUUAGCAACUGACUAGCUACAACAUUGCAACAAACAGGGAUCAUUUUAAAACUGCUUCGAAACGCCAUAGCUACCACCUGGGACCCCAUAAUAGCCAGCUAGCAACACCCUAGCAACCAGUUGAUUUUCCUUAUUAACUGACUUUCUACAAAUUUUGCAGUCAACUGUGAACAUAAUGAAUUGUCAUUGAAGCCCCAUAGCAACCAUCUGGGACCCCAUCACAGCCACCUAGCAUCACCCUAGUAACCAGCUGAGUUUCAAUAGCAACUUGGUGGUGAGCUUGGAGGGGAUUAUAGUGUUAAAUGCUGAGCUGUAGUCAUCAAAGAGCAUUUUAACAUAAUUUCCCUUCCUGGUGUCCAGAUGGCUCAGGCCUGUGUGGCGAUUGGGAUGGUAUGAAAACUAUAAUGGGUCCAGGGUGUCAAGUAAUAAAGAGGUGAUGAAGUCUCUGACCAGCCUUUCAAACACUUCAUCACAACUGGCUGAGGGCUCAAGCACCCCUGACCAGCAUCCUGCUAGCCAUCGUCCAGUCUCUGAAGAACAAGCUCGACGACCUCAGGGCCAGGGUACAUAGCAUGGUGUUUCUACCAGGUUUAAAUGUAAUACUAGUUAGUUCCAAGGUUGUAGAUAGUCAGUUGCUAAGGUAACUUAGCUGGUUGCUUGGGUGUUGCUAAUUGGCUGUUAUAGUCUCCCAAGUGGUUGCUAUGGGGUUUCUAGGAGGUGUCAUUAUGAUCCCAGGUGGUUGCAAGGUUAUAGCAAGUUGGUUGCUAAGGAAACUCAUUAUUCAUUAUCAGGUGUUGCUAGGUGGCUCUCAUUGGAUCCCAUGUGGUUGCUAUGGUUUUAGCUAGUCAGUUGCUAAGGAAACUUAGAUGGCUAGUAUGGUGUCCUAGUUGGUGUGUUAUAAUGUUUCUAGAAGGUUUCAAUAUGAUCCCAGUUGGUUGCAAGGUUAUAGAUAGUCAGUUGCUAAGGAAACUAUUUCUGUGUGGCUUCAAUAUUAUCCUAGGUGGUUACAAGGUUGUAGCUAGUAGGUUGCUAAGGAAACCCUUAUGAUAGCUUAUGAGAGCUGGUUGCUAUCAUAUUGGUAGGUGGCUGCUGUGGGAUCCCAGGUGGUUGCUAUGGUGUUUCUAGGAGGUAUCAAUAUGAUCCGUUCAAUUUAGGUAUCAGUAUGAAGUUUGUAGAUAGUCUGUUGCAAAGGAAACUCAGCUUGGUUCUUGGGUGUUAUUAGGUGGCUGUUAUGGGGGUCCCAGUUGGUGUGUUAUGAUGUGUCUAGAAGGUUUUAAUAUGACCCCAUUGGUUGCUAGGUUGCAGCUAAUAUGUGGUCCCAGGUGGUUGCUGUAGUGUUUCCACAAGGUUUCAAUAUUAUCCCAGUUUGUUGCCAGUUGGUAGCUAGUUGGUUUCUAAGGAAACGGCUGUUAUGGGUUGCAAGGUGGUUGCUGUGAUGUUUCUAGAAGGUUUCAGUGUGAUCCCAGUUGGUUGCAAGGUUGUAGCUAGUCAGUUGCUCAGUCAAUUCAGCUUGUUGCUAUAGUGUUGCUAGGUGGCUGUGCUAUGUUCUCAGAUGGUUGCUAUGGUUUUUCUGGGAGGUUUCAAUAUGAUCUCAGUUGGUUGCAAGGUUGUAGCUUGUUGGUUGCUAAGGAAACUCAGAUUGUUUAUAUGGUAUUCUAGGUGGCUGUUAUCCAGUCCCAGUUCAUGUGUUAAGAUGUCUCUAGGAGCUUUCCAUAUGAUCCCAGUAGGUUGCAAGGUUGUAAGUAGUUGGUUGCUAAGGGAACUCAGCUGGUUGCUAGGGCUGUGGCUGUUAUGUGGCUGUGGCUGUUGUUUGCAGCUAUUUGAAUGCUAAGGAAACUCAGGUUGUUUCUUGGAUGUUGAAAGGUGGCUGAAAGGUUAUGGUGUACCAAGUGGUUGCUCUGGUUUUCCUUCGAGGUUUCAAUAUGAUCCCAGCUGCUUGCAAGGGUGUGUCUAUUCGGUUGCUAAGGAAACUCAGCUGUUUGCUGGUAUGUUUCUAGUUGGCUGUCAUGGGGUCCCAGAUGGUUGCUAUGGUGUUUCUAGAAGGUUUAGAUAUGAUUCCAGUUAGUUGCAAGGUUGUAACAAGGUUGUUGCUAAAGAAACUCGGCUUGUUGCCGGGGUGUUAUGGUGUACCAGGUGGUUGCUAUGGUGUUUCCUUGAGGUUUCAGUGUGAUCCCAGGUGCUUGCUAGGUCGUAGCUAUUCGGUUGCUAAGAAAACUCAGCUGGUUGAUGGUAUGUUUCUAGGUGGCUGUCAUGGGGUCCCAGAUGGUUGCUAUGAUGUUUCUAGGAGGUUUCAAUAUGAUGCCAGUUGGUUGCAAAGUUAUAGCUAGUCUGUUGCUAAGGAAACUCAGCUGGUUGGUAGGAUGUUGUUAGAUGCCUAUUACAGGCUCCCUGGCAGUUACUAUUGUUGUUUCUAGUAGGUUUCAGUAUGAUCCCAGUAGGAUGCAAGGUUGUAGCUAGUUGAUUGCUAAGCAAACUCAUCUGGUUGCUAGGGUGUUGCUACGUGGCUUUUAUGUGGUCCCAGGUUGUAAGUAUUGUGUCUCUUCGAGGUGUCAAUAUGAUCCCAGUUGGUUAAAAGGUUGUAACAACAUUGUUGCUAAGGAUACUCGGCUGGUUGCUAGGGUCCCAUUUGGAGUGUUAUGAUGUUUCUACAAGGUUUCAAUAAGAUUCCAGUUGUUUGCAAGGGUGUAGCUUGUCAUUUGCUAAGGAAUCACAGGUUUUUGCUACAGCGCUUAUGUGGUGGUUGCUAGUAUUUUUAGGGGUUUUCAAUAUCAUCUGAGUUGGUUGCAAGGUUCUAGCUUGUUGAAUUCUAAGGAAACUCAUCUGGUUGCUAGGGUGUAUUGGGUUCCGGGUGGUUACUAUGGAGUUUCUACAGAAAAGUAAGUUUGACAUGACAACCAAAAUUUUACUUUAGACAACCAAAAAUUUGGUUUCAAACGUUUUAUUUUCUGUACUGCUCUCAUUGUUUUAUAGUUGUUUUAAAGAGCAUAUUGGGUCCCAGUUGUUGAAUCAUGUUGGUUUAAAAUAAAUAUGCAAAUCUG